rnacentral:miRNA from 1 species
GCUGACACAUCCCGGCCAAUCUCCAGCAGACCCUCCCUCCCAGACCCUCCUACUUCCUGGACAGCAUCCAUGUUGAAACAUGUUGAAACAUGGAUGCUGUCCAGGAAGUAGGAGGGUCUGGGAGGGAGGGUCUGCUGGAGAUUGGCCGGGAUUUGUCAG